GAACCAACUGGGGAGGAAGUAGCAGGGGAGUGGGAGGAAGGAGGCUGGGAUGGCUUCCAGGACCCAGGGAGGGAACAGAAAAGGGGAAGCAGCAGGGAGUGGGCGGGAGAGGAACAUCCCGUCCCUGUGAACUGCCAAACGCUGUGUCACAUUCUGGUCCGCAGGUGUCCAUGGCCAGUCUGGCAUUUAGCAAAACAUCUGAGUGGGAGAUGUAGAUGUGCCAGCGUCAGACCCAGAAAGAUGACCUCUCUCUGCUAUGUGAAGAUACAAAGAAAAGCCGGCCGUCUGUACACCAGGAAGCAAGCCCUCCCCAGAACCUGGCUGUGGCAGCACCUGGAUCCUAGCCUCCAGCCUCCAGAACUGUGAGAGGUAAAUUUCUGUUGUCUGAGCUGUCAGUCUACGGUGUUGGGCUAUCACAGCCUGAACAGACAGAGAUGCCUCAUUGAGGCCGAGCUCCUGGGUGGGCCACAUGGGUGUGGACUGGACACUCUGCAUUUGGCCACCAGAUUUGGCCCCCUGAAGGUCUUUAGUCCAUUGUCAGGGCUGGUCCCUGGACUUCUUGGGACUCUGGAUCCAGUCCCCAGAGACUUCUACAUCCUCCACUCACGACCUGUAGGGGCUGAAGCGGAGCUGGCCAGGUUGCAGAGCAUUGCGGAGUGGAUGGAGUAGCAAGCCCUGGCUAGCCUCUUUUGAUGUUUGACUGGUUAAGGGAGGGUGUUCUUAUGGGAGAAUUUAUAGUGCUAUUAAUUUAAAAAUAAACUAAUAACAUUUUGUAAGUAAUUUUGCAUAUUUUUUCAUUUAACAUAAUAUCUUUUAUAUGACUUUAUAAACGACUCCUUAUAACAUAGUUUCAGUGAGUGCAUACAAUUCCAUUGUAAUAUCUCCCUCAAAGCUUCCGAGGGCCACCGGAGCGAUGGGAACCCGAGGGGCCGAGGGUGCAGGCCAGGCUCUGGGGAGCAAAUGUGGGCUCAGGCUGGACGGGGCUGCUGCUGGGGAUGGGGGACUGCAUGGUGUCAGCAGCCACACGAGAUUAGGGCGACCUGGUGGGUCUCAAACACUCGGCCUGCUCCCUGCUGAAGACAUUUGCUGAACGUUGAGGCUGUGCUGGGCAGGAAGAGAAAAAGCUAAACUAAUCGUGUCUGAAUCUCAUCGUGGAAUUUUCUGCAGUCUGUCAGUGUGAGGACAAGGCCUUGAGCUCAAGGACUGGGAAGCCCACCAGGUGCUUGUGAAACCCCUCGAGAGCCACACUUGUCAACUUCAUGGGCUUGGUAAGCCUCGGUUAACAUCAAUUCCUCCAAAUCUCCAUGUCUCCUUCCUCUUGAGGAUUUCUCCAUCAGCGAUUCCCUCUGUCUUGGCCACUCUUCCCCCUCUCUGUGUCUCCUCAACCCAUCUGUUUCCCAGGUCUCAUUUCAUAUAAGCCACUUCCUCAGGGAGACUUUCCCCAAGCCUUCCUCUGUCCCCAUCUGAUCCCAUCUGUGUUUUGUGUGAUCUGAGGUCAUCAUUCCCUCCACCUUUCCCUCACAGCACUUUUCUCCAUUUGUAAAUGUCCUGGAUAUGUUUGCUCGAUCAUUUGAGUCAUGCCUGUUACGUGAAUAAGAUCAUAGUCAUAUUGUUCUCAACUUUAGUGUACUGAAGAGUCACAUGGUGCCAAUUAGAAU
ensembl:lncRNA